rnacentral:lncRNA from 1 species
GCGACAGGAGGGGCUCGGUGCAGGCUAAUCCACGCGCGGAGUCCAGGGUCCCUCUACAGCGGUUUCCCUGGGAACCACUCUGGCUGGAAAUCCUGUGGCUGCCUUUGGAGGAUGUGAACUCUCCUGGGAUGGACCAGAAGUGCUCUGCGCUCUGCUAUUAACCCCAUGAAAAGAGUUCUUUCCAGAUAAGCGGAUACUUGCGGCUGCGUGGAGUGGAUCCCAGUCCCAGUUUGCUACCAGCAAUCCCAACCCAAGACACAGAUGAGCAUUGUCUGGGAAAGCACACUGUCGUCACCUGCCUCCCCCAUCCCGGUCCCCACCACUCUCUGACUGAUGCCAUCGCCUAGAUGAUAAAGCGCCCGUCACUCAAGCACAGAAGUCGAAAUUCAUAGUUCAUUUCUUUACUUAUGUAAGAUCAUUCACUGACAAAAGAACUCAAAUGGAAAGGCUUUGGGCAUAUGCAGAAACGGGGAGAAAAAAAUAAUCUCUCCGAGUCAGAAGCCUCGGGGGAGCAUAGCAAGACUUAUCAAAGUUACAGUGCUCCAUUUGGAAAGCGCCAACCGCCAGCCCUCGGGCGAGGUGCAGUGGUGCAUAAUUAAUGUAGUCCCAGACACAGGUCACUGAAGUGCCCCACAGGUGUGUGCCUGGUUUUCAAUAAGGCCUUUCCCUCGGAACUCCUCUUCCGACUUUGAGUUUGUGCUCCCGGAAGCCUUGCACGAUCGGGAGAAUUCAGAAGAACGAUCUGAAUGCCCAUCAAUAGAAAAUGGCAAGAAAUUACGGCAGAUCUAGUCUCUGGAAUCCUAGGUAUUUGGGGAAAAGAAGCAAGCUGGGUCCCAAAACACUGAUAUAGAAAAGUGGCUGUAGUUUUUGUUGUUGGUGUUGUUUUGUUUUUGCUUUUCAUCAGGAAGGCAAAUAGAAAAAGGUUCACAAUAUUCCAUUUUUUGCAAGACUUCCAUUUUUCAAGUAAGUCUUUGUCCUGAAGGUCACACCAAUGCCCUCAUUAUAUAUGCCCUUCCUGCAAUAUGUGGCUUUUCUGGGUUUCCUGAGCAGGCUGCAGUUUGAGUUUGAACCCUGGGCCUACAGGUGCACAGAUGCUAUCAGCAUUGAUUUGUCCCUCUCGAGACUUUCCAGAUUUGGAGACGUGCCACGCAGUGGAGCGUGAUGACUGUCCAAGAGCUGUUAAGGAGCUACCUCGUGCCCCCGACCACAACCCCCUGCGCGCGCCCCCUGGCGGGGAAGAGGCUUGGCCCCCAUGGGAUAUCAGAAGCAGGAGAACCCUAAGAAAGCGCCCCUCCCUCUGUGCUUGAGGAGACUACUCCGAAGUGGGAUUUCUUCCCGCAAACUUUUCCAGAAGAAUCCGGCGUGAGAAGUAGACACACCUGCUGAAACCGGCCAGCACAGCUACGCAUCCCAUCACUUCAUUGUUUCUGGAUUAACUUCCGGUUGUUUUGUUUUAUUUAACUUUCUCCUUCACCAGCCUUGCUUGCUUUUCCCAAAUAAAGUGGACCCCG